CCUCUGGUAGCUCAGUUGGUAGAGCGGUGGACUGUAGAUCCAUAGUUCGCUGGUUCAAAUCCGGCCCGGAGGA
rnacentral:tRNA from 1 species